CUUCCGUAGGUGAACCUGCGGAAGGAUCAUUACCUAGAGUUGUGGGCUUUGCCUGCUAUCUCUUACCCAUGUCUUUUGAGUACUUACGUUUCCUCGGUGGGUUCGCCCGCCGAUUGGACAAUUUAAACCCUUUGCAGUUGCAAUCAGCGUCUGAAAAACAUAAUAGUUACAACUUUCAACAACGGAUCUCUUGGUUCUGGCAUCGAUGAAGAACGCAGCGAAAUGCGAUAAGUAGUGUGAAUUGCAGAAUUCAGUGAAUCAUCGAAUCUUUGAACGCACAUUGCGCCCCUUGGUAUUCCAUGGGGCAUGCCUGUUCGAGCGUCAUUUGUACCUUCAAGCUUUGCUUGGUGUUGGGUGUUUGUCUCGCCUUUGCGUGUAGACUCGCCUUAAAACAAUUGGCAGCCGGCGUAUUGAUUUCGGAGCGCAGUACAUCUCGCGCUUUGCACUCAUAACGACGACGUCCAAAAGUACUUUUUUACACUCUUGACCUCGGAUCAGGUAGGGAUACCCGCUGAACUUAAGCAUAUCAAUAAGCGGAGGAAAAGAAACCAACAGGGAUUGCCCUAGUAACGGCGAGUGAAGCGGCAACAGCUCAAAUUUGAAAUCUGGCGUCUUUGGCGUCCGAGUUGUAAUUUGCAGAGGGCGCUUUGGCAUUGGCAGCGGUCCAAGUUCCUUGGAA
rnacentral:sRNA from 1 species